GUUGUACAGUUCAUCUUUCACCUGUUUUGCAUAAUCAUUUGUUUAGGAAGGUAGAAAUAAUAGAAUGUUGCAAGUGUGCAAUUGUAGAAACACGACACAAAUGACAAACUUGCAUUAAACAAACUUAAUUGACAGAGCAACAAACUUAUAAAAUAAGCAAAUGCAUUGAUGCCAUAAACAAUGGAAAAGAAAAAUUUUUAGAAUACAUGGCUAAGUAAUUGAAUAUAAAGACUAUCAUAAUGACUUAAAGAUUGAAUGAUUUCCUGUACAUUUUGCUUUGGUUUGAAUAUAACACAAUGCAGCCCUUGUGUUGAACACUCUCACUAAGCAAGGCUUAAAAGAAGGGACUUUGCAAGUAAUGGAACGCAAGCAAGCACACCAACAAAACUAGAACAAUGUGAAUCAUAAAAGUGGUUGAUGUAAUACAUUUCUUGGCCAGAAUAUUAUGCAGAUUGAGAACCUAAGACUUAUUGCAACUGGACUACAUUAUGCUGCAAAUGAACCACUAUACUCAGCAAACAGAUUUUAACAGGCUUGAUAAAAGCUUAUUGGCAUUUGUUUACUAAGAUAAAUAAAAAAGGUCACACACAAAUUUUAA
rnacentral:misc_RNA from 1 species